CAGCUCUCCGAGUAGUGUGGACGUUUAUUGGGCCUAAAGCAUCCGUAGCUUGCUAGAUAAGUCCUCUGUUAAAUCCACCGAUUCAAUCGUUGGAUUGCGGGGGAUACUGUUUGGCUAGGGGACGGGAGAGGUCGACGGUAUUUCCGGGGUAGGGGUGAAAUCCUAUAAUCCCGGGAGGACCACCAGUGGCGAAGGCUGUCGACUAGAACGCGCCCGACGGUGAGGGAUGAAAGCUGGGGGAGCGAACCGGAUUAGAUACCCGCGUAGUCC
rnacentral:rRNA from 1 species